GCGCCACCGAUCCCUUCGCCGGCGCCGAGAUCCUAGAGGAGGAGGCGCCGCCUUCGUUGCGGACCUCCAGGUCGCCGUCAGGACACCGCUGCCGAGGUCCGCCUUCGACUGGAUCCCUUCGCGUGUUCAUGGUCACCGCGCUUCGUCUCUCCGUCCGCCGCCGCACUGCCUUCCGUCCAUGGUCGCGCUACCUGCCCCGCUUCUUCCUACUGCUUCUCCAGCUCACCGCGACGCCAUGCCGGGAUGGAGAUCGAGGACGAGGUGAGGAGGGCCGAGGGUUCCUUCCGCCCGAGAUCGAGGACGAGGUAAUGAGAGCCGAGGGUUCCUUGCGCCCGCUCCUCUCCCAGAUAGCCCUCGCGUGUGCUAGGGUUCCUCGCGCCGCUGCAGCAUAGGAGCUCCUCGAUCAGCCCCGCCUCCUGCUGUUGCGCCCAUGCUUCCCUCUCGUAUUCCCCGCCGGUCGCCGCCUUCCUUGGUGGUCGCCGCCUUGUGUUUGGUGAACUCAACAGCCCUGGUCUGACGCACAUGGCGAAGCCACCCCCUUCACAGGCUACAGCCUUGGUCGAAUUCGGUUGUCUUCCUCCACUCCGUUCACCUGCCGCCGCGCCUUACCUCUCCACUCAUGCCAACUUUCCACUUUUAUCACAAAGGUGAGAAGGCUAGCGAACUGGUCGGUCUCAACAUGAAGAAACUUGAAGCUGCCAUGGAAGGUCCAGAAGAGCCGAGGCAGCAAUAGGGCGGUGCAGCUGGACCUAGAGGUUGCCCCAUGGGCCCAUCGCUAUUGGUUGAGGUGAAGUAGGUGAAUAAGAAGGGGGUGGCGACGAAGGUGGCAGAGUGGCAGAUGGCGGAGGUGGAGGAGAUCAGCAAGUAAUUCAAGAGGGAGGUGGUUCUCGUCAACGGCUCAGAGGUGGAGCAGGUGGACAAGGCCUCUUUCUUGCUCAACAAGAUUUCUGAGAUCUGUUAAGUUUAAUUUUUGGAAUGCUAAGAUCUGUUCAUAUGCUUUGUUUACUAGCUAAAAAAUUGCAGCAGAUAGGGACUGAAAAUUGUUGAUUUUGCUCAACUUGGUGCAGAUUGAUGAGUACUCAAUCAAG